CCUGACACACAUUGAUAAUUUCGAGUUUGAUGCUCCUUCAUACAACGGCUUGUUUGCUUCCAACAAUAGAUUAUAAAACCUUUGUGUUUCUUCAUUUGGAGCCUCUUCAAUGUUAUCUAAAGUAGAUACUUGGCACGAAUGAUGUUGCCUAAGAGCAUCAUGCACCAUGUCUUCCAUUGCAUUAAAUUGGUGAAUUGGACUACCUUCCGUCUCUAAACCCAUCACACUUUCAUGAUUUUGUACAUCCUCUUCUGGCAUUCUUUCCCCAUGAUCCUCCUAAAUGAAAUAAUUAGGCUUGAAACCCACCUUGUAGAGGUGAACCUUGACAACUCUUUCNUUCAGAAUGUUUGUACAAUCGCACUUUAAACAUGGACAUCGAAGACCCCCAUCUCUGCGAUAACGUUCUUG
rnacentral:lncRNA from 1 species